AGUGAACGCUGGCGGUAGGCCUAACACAUGCAAGUCGAACGGCAGCACAGUAAGAGCUUGCUCUUACGGGUGGCGAGUGGCGGACGGGUGAGGAAUACAUCGGAAUCUACUUUUUCGUGGGGGAUAACGUAGGGAAACUUACGCUAAUACCGCAUACGACCUACGGGUGAAAGCAGGGGAUCUUCGGACCUUGCGCGAUUGAAUGAGCCGAUGUCGGAUUAGCUAGUUGGCGGGGUAAAGGCCCACCAAGGCGACGAUCCGUAGCUGGUCUGAGAGGAUGAUCAGCCAAACUGGAACUGAGACACGGUCCAGACUCCUAAGGGAGGCAGCAGUGGGGAAUAUUGGAAAAUGGGCGCAAGCCUGAUCCAGCCAUACCGCGUGGGUGAAGAAGGCCUUCGGGUUGUAAAGCCCUUUUGUUUGGAAAGAAAAGCAGCAGGUUAAUACCCCGCUGUUCUGACGGUACCCAAAGAAUAAGCACCGGCUAACUUCGUG
rnacentral:rRNA from 1 species